CCCGGUUCCAAACCCUUGCUGGAGAGGUGAUACAGUCAUUUGGAGGAAAGAGGUAUCACCAGUGAAGCCUGCGAAGCAGCAAAGAUGGCAGUCUGCCCCGUCUUCUAGGAGCUCUGUCACAGGGAGUCUUGCAAUGGUAAACAACAGACCCUGGAGUUUGAGGACAACACCAAGGUACUGCCAUACUUGAGGUGGAGAUGGCGUUUCUCAG
rnacentral:lncRNA from 1 species